CAGGACCUACAAAAUUUCCUACAGACCCACUUCAACCAGAACAUCUGUUUGUGCUCUGCCUGGAAAUUAAAGCCUGAGAAAGGGGCUCCACUUGGUGUCGUGGAAGAUGUGGGUUUCACUCAUCACACACUCAAAUCUAAAUUCCUCCAGGGCUUUGCUGACUGCCAGAACAAGCCCCUGAGGAGAGAGAUUUACACCAGUGUGCUGAGAGCAGAAUCAAACCCCGGAUUUAUUACUCGCUAGCACAGAGCAGAAAUGCUAAAGUACCACUCGAUCCCUCCUCCUCCUCCUGGACGAAUCUCUAUCCUCCGGUAUAUGAAAAAUGCAUUUCACCGCUCCACAUAAUAAUUCUUGUUGGGACUAAGCCGUGACGCCUCCCCCCAGCCCGGCCGAGCCUCCCGUGUGCUGCAGUGGUCGCCGAGGUCUGCCGAGGACGGUGGCGGCGGCAGCAGCAGCAGCAUCUGUCCCUGUCCCUGCCGCCCGCUGAGUUCUCCUGCCCAUCCUACGGGAGCGGAGGACAGCGAGUCUCGCAGCCUGCAGGUGUCUCCCGGCGGAGGAGGCUGCGGAGCCCCUUGGGAUCAUGUGUGGUACCCGAGCAGAUGUUCACUCGCUCCUGGUGCUCUCUGCGAGGCAGACCCUCUGCGAUCCCGUCAGCGCUCUGAAGCUCCCCGGGUCCGGGAGGACGGCCACGCUCCCGCUCCUGCAGCUGCUCCUUUAACGUACAAAGGCAGGAUUUCAAGUGAAGGGAAGAAUGGGAGUCUGGCUGCAGCGUUUCCUUCACCGCUACAACAGCAGAUUGGGAGAAGCUGAGAGUUUUGGUGCCUGGACAACUGGAUUCUGAAUCGUGAGAGGCUUUGAAAGCCCCCCCUCUCCCAAAUAAAACAAACCCCUUUGACUUCUUCUCUCAGCAGGAGGGGGAGGGAGGGCGGAUUUACCAUGAAGACAAAUCGAAGAUGCAGAGCCCUGCUAGCAGUGAGUCUGAAUCUGAUGGCUCUCCUCUUCUCUACAACAGCUUUUAUCACGACCCACUGGUGUGAGGGCACACAGAGGGUCCCCAAGCCGAGCUGUGGGAAAGAGAAGAAGACAAACUGCCUCAACUACGGCGGGAAUGAGACUGCGAAUGAGACGAACCAGAAUGUGGUUCAUUACAGCUGGGAGACGGGAGAUGACCGCUUCCUUUUCAGGUAUUUCCACACCGGGAUCUGGUACUCCUGUGAGGAAAAUAUCAAUGCUGCUGGUGAGAAGUGUCGAAGUUUUAUUGACCUUGCCCCGGCUUCUGAAAAAGGUGUCCUGUGGUUAUCAGUAGUUUCUGAGGUGUUGUACAUCAUGCUGUUAGUCGUCGGGUUCAGCCUUAUGUGCCUCGAGCUCUUUCAUUCAAGCAGUGUGAUAGAUGGGCUCAAGUUAAAUGCCUUUGCUGCUGUCUUCACUGUGCUUUCAGGUCUCUUGGGGAUGGUGGCACACAUGAUGUACACUCAAGUUUUCCAAGUGACAGUCAGCCUUGGGCCAGAGGACUGGCGACCACAUUCAUGGGACUAUGGAUGGUCCUUCUGUCUGGCCUGGGGCUCUUUCACCUGCUGCAUGGCAGCCUCUGUCACCACCCUCAACUCCUACACUAAGACUGUCAUCGAGUUCAGACACAAGCGCAAAAUCUUCGAGCAGGGCUUUCGAGAAGAGCAGAACUUCCUAGACCAGGAAGCCAUCAAGUACUUCAGAGAAAGGGCUGAGGAGGAGAGGGCUGAGGCUGGGGACCUGAGGUUACAGUGCCUCCAUAGCUGCUCCCCAAAUAGAAAGAUGUGUGCAGUUUCAUGCAUCUAUUUCCUUGGAAAGAAAGCAAGUGAUCCUUCACUCAGCGGGAGGGAGACUUGGGACAGUGACUUGCUGACUCUGCGCUCUUAAAAUUUGGAAAACCUCCUGGCAUUUUGCUGCCUCUGUCUUGCUGAGAUGCACAUCUCAGCCACGUACUCGUGGAAGCUUGGUGUCUGUCACCCUAAUCACUGAGGGUCCUGAUCCCUCCCCCAGACCUGCUGGAACUGCUCUCCAGUCCCAUGUCACUGCAGGUGGUCUCCCCACAGGCAUGAUAGUGCUGGCACUGCUCUCCAGCUCGGUUUGUCAUCAGCUCACUUGGUAACUCCUGCUCCUUGAAAAUGCCAUGUCAGUUAUGGACUUUUCCACAGGCAGGAGAUCCACAUCCCUCAUUUUCACAGGCCUGAACAUGCCUAUUGGUACAAAAUUGAUCUGGGUCAUGUUUCCUGAGAAAAUUCCCCACCUGCCAAGCUCCUGGCAGGUGCUCAAGUGUGCUUUUUUAUUACUGAAGCCUGUCCAAAGGUCUUUAUUUCAAAGAACAAAUAACAAGUCUUGACAUUAGGUGUUCCAAGGAAUAGGAACAAGGCUCUUGUUGGUCCUACACCCAGCCCUGCCCCAGAGCUUCAAUUCUAAAGGACACAGAGCUUUACCCCCACAGUGCUGACAGCGCUGGGAAAGCAAACUGCAAAGGAGAAACCCAGUGUCAGGGUAAAGAACAGUGGCCAUUCUUCAGUAUUCCAUCAGUCUCAGCUUCACAUCUGUUACCCACUGUAACGAAAUCAGAUCAAUAUUAAUGAAGUGACAGGAGUGAAGUUCUGCUCUCAGUUCACAGUUUACUUACGAAUCCAAUAUAAGCCGCAGGAUCUUCAUUAUUCAUGCUUAUUAGGGAGGAAAAAACAUUAAUUGCUGCUGCUCUGGAUGGCACAAAUCCUCACAACUCUCAGAAGAACGUCUCCUUCCUUGAACAAGUCCAUCAAGCCUGCAUUGACCCAAGGACUCUCCUUGAUGCUGUUUCUGGCUUCACACACUCCCACUCUGUCACAUCAGCCAUGCAAUGGGCUCGUGGCCAGCAGAGCAUUGGUAAGAGCAAGAGAAUGAUGUGAGAAGCACUUGGCUAAAGGCAGGGCAGCCCCAGAGGUUCCCCUGGCUCCCCUGGGUACCUGGGGUCUGCUUGGAUGGAAGAAGGGGACACUCAGAACAGACCAAGUCCUCACCACUGCUUGGUCACGUCAGCACCCACGUGCCACUAACAGAGCAAACACCAGCAGAUCACUCUGAGCACUUUAUGAACACUUCCCAGAGAGGUGAUCCUGAGCCACUGGGACACCAGGAUGCACCACCUGAAGUUAUUCCUGCUGCUCACUUCAACCAGCGUUUCAUUCCCUGGAGGACUUGCCAGCUGCCCUCACUUAGAAGUGCCCUGAGGAUGUUCUGGCUGGAACCAAAUGGCAGAUAAGAAAUAUUUGCUCGUGCUCAAACAUCAUGACUCUUUCUGUCCUCCCACAAAGACAAACCAGGGCAUCUGUCCUUGUUGAGAGGCAAGGAUUUGGGGGAGUGUCGCUGAGGAGUGAAGGAGUAAAACCUUUACAGAAAAGAACACGACUGAGUGACCAUAGAAGACAAAUGCCAUCACAGCCAGGGCUUCACAACACCCAGCUCUAAGUGUCACUAGCCCGCAGAGGAACAGGAGUGACCAUAAUGCUCAGAAAAUACCCCCAUUCGCUACGUCAAGCUCUUC